rnacentral:rRNA from 1 species
UACAGAGGGGGCAAGCGUUGUUCGGAAUUACUGGGCGUAAAGGGCGCGUAGGCGGCCUUCUAAGUCGAACGUGAAAUCCCCGGGCUCAACCCGGGAACUGCGUCCGAUACUGGAAGGCUUGAAUCCGGGAGAGGGAUGCGGAAUUCCAGGUGUAGCGGUGAAAUGCGUAGAUAUCUGGAGGAACACCGGUGGCGAAGGCGGGUCUCUGGGCAGUAACUGACGCUGAGGCGCGAAAGCGUGGGGAGCGAACAGG